rnacentral:rRNA from 1 species
UACGUAGGGGGCAAGCGUUGUCCGGAAUCAUUGGGCGUAAAGCGCGUGUAGGCGGCCCGGUAAGUCCGCUGUGAAAGUCGGGGGCUCAACCCUCGAAUGCCGGUGGAUACUGUCGGGCUAGAGUGCGGGAGAGGCGAGUGGAAUUCCUGGUGUAGCGGUGAAAUGCGCAGAUAUCAGGAGGAACACCGGUGGCGAAGGCGGGUCUCUGGGCCGAUACUGACACUGAGGAGCGAAAGCGUGGGGAGCGAACAGGAUAGAUACC